AGAUUGAACGCUGGCGGCAUGCCUUACACAUGCAAGUCGAACGGCAGCACGGGGGCAACCCUGGUGGCGAGUGGCGAACGGGUGAGUAAUGCAUCGGAACGUGCCCAGUAGUGGGGGAUAACUAGUCGAAAGAUUAGCUAAUACCGCAUACGACCUACGGGUGAAAGCGGGGGAUUCGCAAGAACCUCGCGCUAUCGGAGCGGCCGAUGUCUGAUUAGCUAGUUGGACGGGGUAAAAGCCCACCAAGGCUUCGAUCAGUAGCUGGUCUGAGAGGACGACCAGCCACACUGGGACUGAGACACGGCCCAGACUCCUACGGGAGGCAGCAGUGGGGUAAUUUUGGACAAGUGGGCGCAAGCCUGAUCCAGCCAUCGCCGCGUGGCGGGAAAGGAACGGCCGUUCGGGUUACGUAACCGUCGUUUGGACGAAGGAACGGAAACGGACGGACGACGGACGAAUA
rnacentral:rRNA from 1 species